CGUGUAGGCGGUUGAGUAAGUGGAAUGUGAAAUGCCCCGGCUCACCCGGGGACCGGCAUUCCAUACUGCUCAGCUCGAGUAUGGGAGAGGAUGAGGGAAUUCCUGGUGUAGCGGUGAAAUGCGUAGAUAUCAGGAGGAACACCGGUGGCGAAAGCGCUCAUCUGGCCCAAUACUGACGCUGAGGCGCGAAAGCUAGGGAGCAAACG
rnacentral:rRNA from 1 species